GAUGAACGCUGGCGGCGUGCCUAAUACAUGCAAGUCGAGCGAACGGACGAUAAGCUUGCUUCUCUGAUGUUAGCGGCGGACGGGUGAGUAACACGUGGAUAACCUACCUAAAAGACUGGGAUAACUUCGGGAAACCGGAGCUAAUACCGGAUAAUAUUUUGAACCGCAUGGUUCAAAAGUGAAAGACGGUCUUGCUGUCACUUAUAGAUGGAUCCGCGCUGCAUUAGCUAGUUGGUAAGGUAACGGCUUACCAAGGCAACGAUGCAUAGCCGACCUGAGAGAGUGAUCGGCCACACUGGAACUGAGACACGGUCCAGACUCCUACGAGAGGCAGCAGUAGGGAAUCUUCCGCAAUGGGCGAGAGCCUGACGGAGCAACGCCGCGUGAGUGAUGAAGGUCUUCGGAUCGUGAAACUCUGUUAUUAGGGAAGAACAUAUGUGUAAGUAACUGUGCACAUCUUGACGGUACCUAAUCAGAAAGCCACGGCUAACUACGUG
rnacentral:rRNA from 1 species